UACGGAGGGUGCGAGCGUUGUCCGGAAUCAUUGGGCGUAAAGGGCGCGUAGGUGGCUUCCUAAGCGUGCGGUGAAAGCCUGGGGCUCAACCCCGGGUCGGCCGUGCGAACUGGGGGGCUUGAGCACUGUAGAGGCGAGUGGAAUGGUCGGUGUAGCGGUGAAAUGCGUAGAUAUCGAUCGGAACACCCAUGGCGAAGGCAGCUCGCUGGCCUGCAACUGACGCUGAGGCGCGAAAGCCGGGGGAGCAAACAGG
rnacentral:rRNA from 1 species